UACGUAGGGGGCAAGCGUUGUCCGGAAUUAUUGGGCGUAAAGAGCGUGUAGGCGGUCCGGUAAGUCAGCUGUGAAAGUCAAGGGCUCAACCCUUGAAAGCCGGUUGAUACUGUCGGGCUAGAGUCCGGAAGAGGCGAGUGGAAUUCCCGGUGUAGCGGUGAAAUGCGCAGAUAUCAAGGAAGAACACCCGUGGCGAAGGCGGCUCUCUGGAACGCAACUGACGCUGAGACGCGAAAGCGUGGGGAGCAAACAGG
rnacentral:rRNA from 1 species